UACGUAGGGUGCAAGCGUUAAUCGGAAUUACUGGGCGUAAAGCGUGCGCAGGCGGUUUUGUAAGUCUGUCGUGAAAAUCCCCGGGCUCAACCUGGGAAUUGCGAUGGAGACUGCAAGGCUAGAAUCUGGCAGAGGGGGGUAGAAUUCCACGUGUGAGCAGUGAAAUGCGUAGAGAUGUGGAGGAACACCGAUGGCGAAGGCAGCCCCCUGGGUCAAGAUUGACGCUCAUGCACGAAAGCGUGGGGAGC
rnacentral:rRNA from 1 species